rnacentral:rRNA from 1 species
UACGAAGGGGGCUAGCGUUGCUCGGAAUUACUGGGCGUAAAGGGCGCGUAGGCGGCACUGUUAGUCAGGCGUGAAAGUCCUGGGCUCAACCUGGGAACUGCGCUUGAUACGGCAGAGCUAGAGGAUGGAAGAGGCUCGCGGAAUUCCCAGUGUAGAGGUGAAAUUCGUAGAUAUUGGGAAGAACACCGGUGGCGAAGGCGCUCUACUGGGCCAUAACUGACACUGAUGGACGAAAGCUAGGGGAGCGAAAGGG